GUCGAACGGCAGCGGGGUAGUGCUUGCACUACUGCCGGCGAGUGGCGAACGGGUGAGUAAUAUAUCGGAACGUACCGAGUAAUGGGGGAUAACCAAUCGAAAGAUUGGCUAAUACCGCAUACGUCCUACGGGAGAAAGCGGGGGAUCGCAAGACCUCGCGUUAUUCGAGCGGCCGAUAACUGAUUAGCUGGUUGGUGGGGUAAAGGCCUACCAAGGCGACGAUCAGUAGCGGGUCUGAGAGGACGAUCCGCCACACUGGGACUGAGACACGGCCCAGACUCCUACGGGAGGCAGCAGUGGGGAAUUUUGGACAAUGGGGGCAACCCUGAUCCAGCCAUGCCGCGUGUAUGAAGAAGGCCUUCGGGUUGUAAAGUACUUUUGUUAGGGAAGAAAAGGGAAGUGCUAAUACCACUUUUUGCUGACGGUACCUAAAGAAUAAGCACCGGCUAACUACGUGCCAGCAGCCGCGGUAAUACGUAGGGUGCGAGCGUUAAUCGGAAUUACUGGGCGUAAAGCGAGCGCAGACGGUUAUUUAAGCAGGAUGUGAAAU
rnacentral:rRNA from 1 species